rnacentral:rRNA from 1 species
ACAUGCCUAGAUCAUAGAGUUAAUGCACUAGAUCCCAUUAGAACUCCUCAGUUAAGAAUGCUUAGGCUAGAGUAGUAUUGGGAUGGGUGACCGCUCGGGAAGUCCUAGUGUUUUACAUGCC